CUUAAAUUGAAGAGUUUGAUCAUGGCUCAGAUUGAACGCUGGCGGCAGGCCUAACACAUGCAAGUCGAGCGGUAACAGGAAGAAAGCUUGCUUUCUUUGCUGACGAGCGGCGGACGGGUGAGUAAUGCCUGGGAAUAUGCCUUAACGUGGGGGAUAACUAUUGGAAACGAUAGCUAAUACCGCAUGAUGCCUACGGGCCAAAGAGGGGGACCUUCGGGCCUCUCGCGUUAAGAUUAGCCCAGGUGGGAUUAGCUAGUUGGUGAGGUAAUGGCUCACCAAGGCGACGAUCCCUAGCUGGUCUGAGAGGAUGAUCAGCCACACUGGAACUGAGACACGGUCCAGACUCCUACGGGAGGCAGCAGUGGGGAAUAUUGCACAAUGGGCGCAAGCCUGAUGCAGCCAUGCCGCGUGUAUGAAGAAGGCCUUCGGGUUGUAAAGUACUUUCAGUCGUGAGGAAGGCAUUUGCGUUAAUAGCGUAGGUGUUUGACGUUAGCGACAGAAGAAGCACCGGCUAACUCCGUGCCAGCAGCCGCGGUAAUACGGAGGGUGCGAGCGUUAAUCGGAAUUACUGGGCGUAAAGCGCAUGCAGGUGGUUCGUUAAGUCAGAUGUGAAAGCCCGGGGCUCAACCUCGGAAUUGCAUUUGAAACUGGCGGACUAGAGUGCUGUAGAGGGGGGUAGAAUUUCAGGUGUAGCGGUGAAAUGCGUAGAGAUCUGAAGGAAUACCGGUGGCGAAGGCGGCCCCCUGGACAGACACUGACACUCAGAUGCGAAAGCGUGGGGAGCAAACAGGAUUAGAUACCCUGGUAGUCCACGCCGUAAACGAUGUCUACUUGGAGGUUGUGGCCUUGAGCCGUGGCUUUCGGAGCUAACGCGUUAAGUAGACCGCCUGGGGAGUACGGUCGCAAGAUUAAAACUCAAAUGAAUUGACGGGGGCCCGCACAAGCGGUGGAGCAUGUGGUUUAAUUCGAUGCAACGCGAAGAACCUUACCUACUCUUGACAUCUAGAGAAGCCAGCGGAGACGCAGGUGUGCCUUCGGGAACUCUAAGACAGGUGCUGCAUGGCUGUCGUCAGCUCGUGUUGUGAAAUGUUGGGUUAAGUCCCGCAACGAGCGCAACCCUUAUCCUUGUUUGCCAGCGAGUAAUGUCGGGAACUCCAGGGAGACUGCCGGUGAUAAACCGGAGGAAGGUGGGGACGACGUCAAGUCAUCAUGGCCCUUACGAGUAGGGCUACACACGUGCUACAAUGGCGCAUACAGAGGGCUGCCAACCAGCGAUGGUGAGCGAAUCCCAAAAAGUGCGUCGUAGUCCGGAUUGGAGUCUGCAACUCGACUCCAUGAAGUCGGAAUCGCUAGUAAUCGUGAAUCAGAAUGUCACGGUGAAUACGUUCCCGGGCCUUGUACACACCGCCCGUCACACCAUGGGAGUGGGCUGCAAAAGAAGUGGGUAGUUUAACCUUUCGAGGAGGACGCUCACCACUUUGUGGUUCAUGACUGGGGUGAAGUCGUAACAAGGUAGCGCUAGGGGAACCUGGCGCUGGAUCACCUCCUUAUACGAUGAU
rnacentral:rRNA from 1 species